rnacentral:rRNA from 1 species
GACGAACGCUGGCGGCGUGCCUAAUACAUGCAAGCCGAGCGCAGGAAAUCGACGGAACCCUUCGGGGGGAAGUCGAUGGAAUGAGCGGCGGACGGGUGAGUAACACGUAAAGAACCUGCCCUCAGGUCUGGGAUAACCACGAGAAAUCGGGGCUAAUACCGGAUGGGUCAUCGGACCGCAUGGUCCGAGGAUGAAAGGCGCUUCGGCGUCGCCUGGGGAUGGCUUUGCGGUGCAUUAGCUAGGUGGUGGGGUAAUGGCCAACCAAGGCGACGAUGCAUAGCCGACCUGAGAGGGUGAUCGGCCACACUGGGACUGAGACACGGCCCAGACUCCUACGGGAGGCAGCAGUAGGGAAUCUUCCACAAUGGACGAAAGUCUGAUGGAGCAACGCCGCGUGAACGAUGAAGGCCUUCGGGUCGUAAAGUUCUGUUGUAAGGGAAGAACAAGUGCCGCAGGCAAUGGCGGCACCUUGACGGUACCUUGCGAGAAAGCCACGGCUAACUACGUGCCAGCCGCCGCUGUAAAAC